rnacentral:lncRNA from 1 species
ACCGACAGUGACUUCCUCACCAUAUUGCACCAAGACAAUUUGGGAGGACUUCAACUGGUGAAAGAUGGAGAAUGGAUCGGCGUCAAACCUAAUUCAGAUGCUUUGAUUAUCAACAUCGGCGAUUUAUUUGAGGUAAUUAUAUAUUUAAUUACAACAACAAACAUACAUACAUACAUGCAUGUACAUACCCUUCUAUAUGCAUGUUAAUUGUUGAUAAUUAAGUGAUUUACAAUUAAUAUUUUAUUACAAUAUAAUUAAUUAACCAAUGUACGUAGGCGUGGAGCAAUGGUGUUUAUAAGAGCAUACAACAUAGGGUGAUAACUAAUCCAAAAGCAGAAAGGCUCUCAGUUGCCUACUUUUUAUGCCCUUCCUAUGAGACCGUAAUACAGAGCUAUAGGGAACCUUCAAUCUACAAAACAUUUAGCUUUGGAGAGUACAGACAACAAAUUCAGGAGGAUGUCAAAUCUGCCGGCAAAAAAAUAGGGCUUCCCAGGUUUCUCAAAUGAUGUAUACGUACAUGUGUGUGUAUAUAUAUGCGUGUGUGUGCAUGUAUGUCCAUAUAUAUACAUGCAUGCAUAUAUGCAUAUAUACAUAUGUCUAUAUAUAUCCACGUACGUACCACUAUUGUCAUCGGAUAUUUAAAUUGAUGUUUGUUUUCAACACUAAGUGACAAGCAUGAAUGAAAUUAAUUUCAAUUGCAAGAUCUUGAUAAAUUGAGUUUAAUUUAGAUCAAAACAACACUGUUAAUGUGAAAGGGUGAGUGUAAUUUUGGAUAAUUAAUUAUAAAACUAAAGGAUAUAUAGGGAGACAUGAUACCAUAAUUGUCAAAGAACAAAGGCCUACUGCUACAAGGACCCUUCCAUGUAACUUGCACUAGUAAGUUGUACACGGCUUGCUUGCAGAUUGAAAUGCUAUGCUAUUAGGAGUUAAAAUUUGAUACACGAAUUGUGUUAAAAUUAUGAUAUCUCAUUUAAAUAAAAAUAUAUGUUUGUAUCAAAUCAAUGUAAUAACUCGAUUCAUAAUGCAAUAGACUAUUACGUACAUUGAUUUGACAUGUUUUGUAUUUAGUUCAUCAAUUACAUAUAUUAGCCCCAUUGGUCAUUACGAGCAUAAUACGUUAACGUUAAUGUUAAUUUAAAUGUUUUUCAUUACGCCUAAUAAUGAAUGUAUUAAAUCAUUACAUCCUUAAUACAAUAGAUAAUAAAAGACAAAAUAAUAAUGUUUAUCACUGAUUUGAUAUUUUGACUUAUAAUUAACUUUAUUAAUUACAUAUAAUUAUAUACUUAAUAAAUCAAUCACAAUUUUAAACGCAAUGUAAUAACAUCAACUACUUAUUAUAAUAGUACAAACAAUGUUUUAUUAGUUAUAUGAGUUAAGUGAGAUAUUUUGAAUGUUCCUAAACUAAGUUGGCUCAUGAAAUUAUACUUGCAUUUAAUUAGUUGAUACUUUUAGUUUUAUUAUAUUUGUAUUAUUUAUAAGAUAUAUAUAUAUAUAUAUAUAUAUAUAUAUAUAUAUAAUUUAAGUAGCUUCAUUCUCUUUGUAAGAUAUAUAAUAUAAUUUGUAGCCAAUUCAAUGUUUGUGUAAAUUGGUUCUCUUUGUAGGCAUUUACUUGUAUAUCAUACUUUUUUUUAUAGGAAACCUGAAAUGUAUCUAAUAUUCAUUUAGAAUCCUUUUUUAAUUAUUAUUCUUCCUAUUUUUUUAGUCUUAAUGAACCAAGGAAUUUUAUUAAAGACUAAAAACGAAUAUUAAUACCAUUGUUGAGUAAAAUUAUAUGUCUAAUUAUUUUAAUAAUAGUUGUGAUUAAAAUAACAUUUAAAAAAAGUCGCUUCAUAUAUAGAAUUUUUAAUUGAUUAGUACUCGCUCUAUUUUAAAUUACGGGUAUAAAUAGUUUUUUUUUUUUGAAGUGGUCAAAAUUUAGAUAUAUAUUUUUAUUUUAAAAUAAUAAAAAUAACAUAAUUAUUUUAAUUUAUCAUUAUUUUUUCACCAUCAUUUAUAUCAUAGCACUAACAUUAGUUAUAUGAUAUUAAGAGUACAUAUAAUAAUAUAAAUUACAAAUAAUAAUAAAAUACAAUUACAAAUCUGUGCUUGGACACAACUAUGUACGAUCACCACACAAACACCAAGUACGAACCAAAUAUAUACUCCUUCCGUGAUCAAAAGGUUGAACUAAGCACAUUUUUUAUAUAAAUUAAAAAAAGGAAAGUAGAUAAAAAAAAUAAAAAUUUUUAAAUUUAUCUUUAAUGACCUCAUAAAAUUACACAAAUUAAUAAAAAAAAAUUAUACUAAUUGACGACACUAAAUAACAUAUUUAUAUUUUAUGUUAUGUACCUUAACUCAUUUUUGAAGUAAAAAAAAUGUUUUAAGUCACCAUUUAAAAAUGGGAGAGAGUAUAUCGUAAUAACCUACAAUCAUUUUUAAAGUAAAAAAAAUGUUUUAAGUCACCAUUUAAAAAUGGGAGAAAGUAUAUCGUAAUAACCUACAGUCAUUGUAUUAUAAUCAUAAAGACCAAUUAUAUUAGAAAGUCAACGAGUUGUCAGUUGAAUAGGAAAAACCAAACCAAACCAAACAAAGCAAACACCGAACCAUAAACCUAGGCCUUUUGGCUCAAUAAUUAUUCUCACCCCUGAAUUUAAAUUAUUAAAAAAAAAAAAAAAAAAACUCUGGAAACCAGAUCACGUAUUAAUAAUCUCUUGUUAAUUUCUCCUCUUACAUAAUUUAUUCUCAAUUUCUUAAUUUAUAUGAAACCGGGUAACUCACCGGAAAACCAUUCAUUUAUGGCGGAGAGUGGAUGUUGCCAGUGCUGUUUUAGCUAUCUUCAUAUUCAUACUCACCUCAGGUCUCACUUCUUGUGACUGGCUAAGUCUACGUACUUCCAACCCAACAUGCUACAUCCAGGACUUUUACGUUCCUGCCCUCAACAAAAUUAAUAUUACCAGGUCCACCAACAACACCUCCAUCUAUAAUUUCCAUUUCAAGCUCCGCAACAAGAACAAAGAGAGGGUAUUUACUACGUACGAUACCCUCAACCUCACCUCUUAUUACGAGCUAACUCUUCUGGUUGGGAAUUAAACAGUGCCGAGUUUAUAUUCAGGGGCAUACUCGUCGGAAGAAUCUCGUGGAGACGACGUAUGAGGCCCGUGCCUUGGUAAGCGGUUUACGGGGCGGUUUUGAAUGGGUCCAAUUCGGUUUUCAGAGUUGAUUAGCCAACGGCGGUACUGAGAUUCAAGAUUAAUUGUGGGAUUCAAGACUAAGAGACACACGUUACUGGUGAGGACUAACCUAGAGGUAAACGACAAAGUCAAGAAAGAAGAAUUAAGGUUAUUAAACUCAAGUUCGGCGCACCGGAGCGAAAGUGCUAUUGUGCGCGUGUAGUAAGACUAUUACUUGUUUUUAGUAUUUUAUUACUACUACUUUCUUGGUUUUGGUUUUGGUUUUGGUUUUGUACUUUUCGUCCAUUAUUUAAUUUGAUUUAACAAAUAAUAAUAAUAAUAUUAAAUUAAAAA